rnacentral:tRNA from 1 species
CGGCGAGUAGCGCAGCUUGGCAGCGCAACUGGUUUGGGACCAGUAGGUCGGAGGUUCAAAUCCUCUCUCGCCGA